GAUGAAGAACGCAGCGAAAUGCGAUAAGUAAUAUGAAUUGCAGAUUUUCGUGAAUCAUCGAAUCUUUGAACGCACAUUGCACCCUCUGGUAUUCCAGAGGGUAUGCCUGUUUGAGCGUCAUUUCUCUCUCAAACCCUCGGGUUUGGUAUUGAGUGAUACUCUUAGUCGAACUAGGCGUUUGCUUGAAAUAUAUUGGCACGAGUAGUGUUGAACAGUGUUGUCUGAACAUCAAUGUAUUAGGUUUAUCCAACUCGUUGAUACAGGUGGUACGAUUCUUCAUUAGGCUUUGCCUUAUAAAACACAAACAAGUUUGACCUCAAAUCAGGUAGGAUUACCCGCUGAACUUAAGCAUAUCAAUAAGCGGAGGA
rnacentral:misc_RNA from 1 species